CACGUAGGCACCAAGCGUUGUCCGGAUUUAUUGGGCGUAAAGAGCUCGUAGGCGGUUCGGUAAGUCGGAUGUGAAAACUUUGGGCUCAACCCAAAGCGUGCAUUCGAUACUGCCGUGACUCGAGUCCGGUAGGGGAGUGUGGAAUUCCCGGUGUAGCGGUGAAAUGCGCAGAUAUCGGGAGGAACACCAGUGGCGAAGGCGGCACUCUGGGCCGGUACUGACGCUGAGGAGCGAAAGCGUGGGGAGCGAACAGG
rnacentral:rRNA from 1 species